UACGAAGGGUGCAAGCGUUGCUCGGAAUCAUUGGGCGUAAAGCGCACGUAGGCGGCGAUCUAAGUCGGAUGUGAAAUCCCUCGGCUCAACCGAGGACGUGCAUCCGAAACUGGAUUGCUCGAGUAUGGAAGAGGGUCGCGGAAUUCCCGGUGUAGAGGUGAAAUUCGUAGAUAUCGGGAGGAACACCAGUGGCGAAGGCGGCGAUCUGGGUCGAUACUGACGCUGAGGUGCGAAAGCGUGGGGAGCAAACAGG
rnacentral:rRNA from 1 species